ACACUGAAACUAUUUCAGUUAAAUAGAAAGCAUUUCAAAGCUAAGGUUAUGGGUGGCAAUUUAUCCCUAACCGUAACUUUGAAGUGCUUUCUGUUUAACCGUCCCUGGGGAUGCAGAG
rnacentral:precursor_RNA from 8 species